rnacentral:rRNA from 1 species
AUGAACGGAAGGGAUAGUAGGUCCUGUGUAGCUCGAGCUACAAAAAACUGCUCUCGAGCUGAGGGUUACUCCAGAGAGAAGUUUGGUACUAGCAUGGAGGGUAACAGAAAAUUUAGUUUGCGCUCAGGGGGUUACUCUAGUGAUAAAUAUCUUAUCAACCGUCAGGGCUACUCCAGGGAAAAUUUUGGUAUAAGUGCAGAGGGUUACUACAAGGAUAGGUUUGGCAUUAGUGCAGAUGAGGAUGGGGAAAUGUUGUUCUCUGAACUGAUCAAGUUGAGCAUAAUCCAGUAUCCACCAAACACGAAUGCAUCAAAUAGCAAGGUGAAAGACAUGUUCCAAGUUAACGGUUUCUUCCAUGGAUAUAUCAUGUCACGGAGAAUGGAUGAUAACCUUGUGUUUGCACCGGAGGGCCGUUGCAGCCCCAGCUUGCAAUGUGCUGGACAACACCUCACCAUUAGCACCACUUGGGACAGAGACGAGAGUGUAUUCAAGAGCAUGGACCUAUCACGACUACGUUCUUUCACAGUAUUUGGGAAGUGGAGGUCAUUCUUCGUCUCUAAGGGUAUCAAUAUGGCACUUCUUAGGGUGCUGGAUCUGGAGGAUACAUCAAGUGUAUCAGAUGGUGACCUCGAGAAGAUAGUGAAGCUACUGCCUUGUCUCAAGUUUCUAUCCUUGCGGGGAUGCGAAGAUAUCACUUGUCUGCCAGAUUCAGUGGGUGGACUGAGGCAGUUGCAAACUCUGGAUGUCAGACACACAUGUAUAGUAGAGUUACCAGCCUCCAUCAGCAAGCUACAAAAUCUACAAUAUAUUCGUGCAGGCACCACUUAUGAAUCAUUGGGUCAAGGCCAUGAUGUGCAACAGGAAGCAUCAGAGCAUGAUGGUACAAGCACCAGCCAAACAUCAGUAGUGGUUGCAGCAGCAGCAACAACAACAACAACUACUACUACUACUACUACUACUACUACUACAACAUCAGUGGACCCUCAUGGCGCGAACAUAAGUCAACCAUCAGAAACACCACAAACUGACAUUGAUGAUGAAGAUGGGACAUUAACUAAAUCAGUAGCGGCAGGCCAUGCUAGCACAAGCAUGAUCCGCAGAGCAGUGGCGGUAGCAGCAACAAGCAAGUCGAGCACAAGUCAACUAUCAGAAACAUUGCCACCAGCUGGCAUUGACAAUGAAUACGGGGGAUUAACUAAAGCAGCAGAAGCAGACAAUGAUGGCACAAGGACAGUCCAAACAGCAGGAGCAGUAGCAGUAGCAGCAACAACAACAACAACACCGGUAGACCGUCAUGGCGUGAGCACUAGUCAACCAUCAGAAACACCAGCACCAGCUGCUAUUGACGGUGAUGAUGGGGCAUCACCUAUACUAGCGCUACUGAGAAGGAGGGCACACGAUCUGGAUAACUGGUUUUCCAAUAAGAAGAAGUUGCGCAGACGCCAACGACUUAAUGAUAAUGGUGGUGGUGUUAAGGUUCAGGCUCACGGGAUUGGGAAUAUGGCGGCCUUGCGUACACUCGGUGUCGUGAAUGUGAGUGGUGCAGGUGGGAAGGCCAUCCUCAAGGAGGUAAAUAAGCUUACCCAGUUGCGCAAGCUCGGCGUGUCUGGUAUCAACCGCAAAAACUGGCACGACUUGUACUCUGCCAUUUCAGGACAUGGUCAUCUCGAGUCAUUGUCAGUAUAUUUUGACAAGGGGGAACCUGCAACAAGUUUUUUUUCUCGUUCGAGUGACAUGUUCUCCGGCCUACCCAAGAGUCUGAAGAGCCUUAAGCUGUAUUCGACGGGUGGGGAAGUACAAGUACCGCCGGUCUUGGUGAAGCAUCUUUACUGUCUCAGAAAGUCUCGUUUUGACCUCAUAGUGUCGACGCAAGAAGAUAUAUACAGCAUUACGGAAUUUCCUCAUCGACGUGCAUUUCGUAAUAUUUAUGUCAAGCCGGUUCAAGAUGGCCAGCUCCAUUAUGGUCAGCGGGAUGAGACGUUGUAUUGUGAUGGUUUCACUGACGCCCCAAUCCUCAAGAUUGACUGUGGCAGCUACAAGCUGGCGAUAUGUUUUGGAUAUUGGAUACCAGAAUACAUUGAGGUGCUGGUGGUUGACUGCUCUACUGCUGAGGCUUCUUUGGAGGUGUCUGGAUUAAAGGAAUUAUCUAGACUCAAGGAGGUGUGGCUCAAGGGUUCCUACAGCGAGGCAAUCAAGCAACAUUUGCAGCAGAAACUUGAUGAGCUACACAGCUCACGCUUGGAGGAGGCAGUUAAGUACGGCAGGGAGUCCAGGUACACAAGAGCUGUCCUGAGGCUGGAGGACCAAGCACAUCCGUCCUGA